UCGCUAGUAAACGCGGAUCAGCAUGCCGCGGUGAAUACGUUCCCGGGCCUUGUACACACCGCCCGUCACACCACGAGAGUUUGUAACACCCGAAGUCGGUGGGGUAACCGUAAGGAGCCAGCCGCCUAAGGUGGGACAGAUGAUUGGGGUGAAGUCGUAACAAGGUAGCCGUAUCGGAAGGUGCGGCUGGAUCACCUCCUUUCUAAGGAAAAUUGCUUGAACCUCGUGUUCAGCAACAAACAACGUGACGUCGUUUUGUUCAGUUUUGAAGGUUCAUUAUGAACUUUCAACAAGAAGUCUUUUGAUCACAUCGUGAUCAUGAGGCAGUUGUUCUUUGAAAACUAGAUAGCAAGAAUGUUAAGGAAAACAAAGUGUAACACUUUUUGAAAUAACCAAUACGGUUAAGUUAGAAAGGGCGCACGGUGGAUGCCUUGGCACUACGGAGCCGAUGAAGGACGGGACUAACACCGAUAUGCAAAA
rnacentral:misc_RNA from 1 species